AUUGAAACACCGGUUCCCGUACGAUCACUGAAGUUAAGCAACGUCGAACCUGGUCAGUAAAAUGGGUGACCGCUUAGGAAUACCAGGUGUUGUAAG